rnacentral:rRNA from 1 species
AACGAACGCUGGCGGCAGGCUUAACACAUGCAAGUCGAGCGCCCCGCAAGGGGAGCGGCAGACGGGUGAGUAACGCGUGGGAAUCUACCCAUCUCUACGGAAUAACGCAUGGAAAAGGGUGCUAAUACCGUAUACGUCCUUCGGGAGAAAGAUUUAUCGGAGAUGGAUGAGCCCGCGUUGGAUUAGCUAGUUGGUGGGGUAAAGGCCUACCAAGGCGACGAUCCAUAGCUGGUCGGAGAGGAUGAUCAGCCACACUGGGACUGAGACACGGCCCAGACUCCUACGGGAGGCAGCAGUGGGGAAUAUUGGACAAUGGGCGCAAGCCUGAUCCAGCCAUGCCGCGUGAGUGAUGAGGGCCCUAGGGUUGUAAAGCCCUUUCACCGGUGAAGAUAAUGACGGUAACCGGAGAAGAAGCCCCGGCUAACUUCGUGCCAGCCGCCGCAGUAACAC